GAUGAACGCUGGCGGCGUGCCUAAUACAUGCAAGUCGAGCGAACGGACGAGAAGCUUGCUUCUCUGAUGUUAGCGGCGGACGGGUGAGUAACACGUGGAUAACCUACCUAUAAGACUGGGAUAACUUCGGGAAACCGGAGCUAAUACCGGAUAAUAUUUUGAACCGCAUGGUUCAAAAGUGAAAGACGGUCUUGCUGUCACUUAUAGAUGGAUCCGCGCUGCAUUAGCUAGUUGGUAAGGUAACGGCUUACCAAGGCAACGAUGCAUAGCCGACCUGAGAGGGGGAUCGGCCACACUUGAACUGAGACACGGUCCAGACUCCUACGGGAGGCAGCAGUAGGGAAUCUUCCGCAAUGGGCGAAAGCCUGACGGAGCAACGCCGCGUGAGUGAUGAAGGUCUUCGGAUCGUAAAACUCUGUUAUUAGGGAAGAACAUAUGUGUAAGUAACUGUGCACAUCUUGACGGUACCUAAUCAGAAAGCCACGGCUAACUACGUG
rnacentral:rRNA from 1 species